rnacentral:rRNA from 1 species
UACGGAGGGUGCAAGCGUUAUCCGGAUUUACUGGGUUUAAAGGGUGCGCAGGCGGACUUUUAAGUCAGAGGUGAAAUCUCCGGGCUCAACCCGGAAACUGCCCCUGAUACUAUUGGUCUUGAAUAUCGUUGAGGUAGGCGGAAUACAUCAUGUAGCGGUGAAAUGCUUAGAUAUGAUGUAGAACACCAAUUGCGAAGGCAGCUUACUAAACGAUUAUUGACGUUCAGGCACGAAAGCGUGGGGAGCAAACAGG